AGUGAACGCUGGCGGUAGGCCUAACACAUGCAAGUCGAACGGCAGCACAGUAAGAGCUUGCUCUUACGGGUGGCGAGUGGCGGACGGGUGAGGAAUACAUCGGAAUCUACUUUUUCGUGGGGGAUAACGUAGGGAAACUUACGCUAAUACCGCAUACGACCUACGGGUGAAAGCAGGGGAUCUUCGUACCUUGCGCGAUUGAAUGAGCCGAUGUCGGAUUAGCUAGUUGGCAGGGUAAAGGCCCACCAAGGCGACGAUCCGUAGCUGGUCUGAGAGGAUGAUCAGCCACACUGGAACUGAGACACGGUCCAGACUCCUACGGGAGGCAGCAGUGGGGAAUAUUGGACAAUGGGCGAAAGCCUGAUCCAGCCAUACCGCGUGGGUGAAGAAGGUCUUCGGGUUGUAAAGCCCUUUUGUUGGGAAAGAAAAGCAGCAGGUUAAUCCCCCGCUGUUCUGACGGUACCCAAAGAAUAAGCACCGGCUAACUUCGUG
rnacentral:rRNA from 1 species